rnacentral:rRNA from 1 species
UGACCCCAAAGUGGGCAGGAGGACCAGCUGAGCUUAAGCAUAUUAAUAAGCGGAGAAGAAGAUAAUUACUAGGAUUCCCUUAGUAACAGGGAGUGAACCAAGAUCUCCCCAACACAGGAAUCAAGAUGCAAUGCAGUCGAAUUGUAGUCUGGAGAAGUGUCCCUAGUGACAAAUCAGGCCUGCGUCCCUAGAAAAGGGGCAUUAGGGAGGGUUAGAGCUCCAUUCAUCCUGAACCCUAUUAUAAUAUGAGGUGUUGUCAUUGAGUCAAGUUUCUUGGGAAUGCAACUCCAAUAGGGAAAUAAAUACUAUCCAAGGCUAAAUAUGGGUGAGAAACUGAUAGUGAACAAGUACCAUGAAGGAAAGAUAAAAUUUUUUUGAAAAGAGAGUCAAAGAGUGCUUAAAAUUGUCAGGAAGGAAGUGGAUGGGGGUUGGCAUUAUGUCUCAGCCUGUAGUGGAGUGGGUAAUGCUACUCUACUAUUUGGAUUGAGGCGUGGAUCAUUGCAGGCCUUAUUGGUGGCUAGAUCCUAGGCGAAUGAUGCACGAGGAUGCACAGGCCUUAUUGGUGGCUAGAUCCUAGGCGAAUGAUGCACGAGGAUGCACAGUCAGUAUGGCCAAUGAAGCAU